rnacentral:rRNA from 1 species
UACGUAGGGUGCGAGCGUUAAUCGGAAUUACUGGGCGUAAAGGGCGCGUAGGCGGCACGGCAAGCCAGGAGUGAAAGGCCUGGGCUCAACCUGGGAAUUGCUUUUGAAACUGCUGAGCUAGAGUGCGGAAGGGGCAACUGGAAUUCCCAGUGUAGCGGUGAAAUGCGUAGAUAUCUGGAGGAACACCGGUGGCGAAGGCGGCAUCCUGGACCGGUAUUGACGCUGAGGAGCGAAAGCCAGGGGAGCAAACGGG